rnacentral:rRNA from 1 species
AUGAACGCUAGCUACAGGCUUAACACAUGCAAGUCGAGGGGCAGCAUGGUCUUAGCUUGCUAAGGCCGAUGGCGACCGGCGCACGGGUGAGUAACACGUAUCCAACCUGCCGUCUACUCUUGGACAGCCUUCUGAAAGGAAGAUUAAUACAAGAUGGCAUCAUGAGUCCGCAUGUUCACAUGAUUAAAGGUAUUCCGGUAGACGAUGGGGAUGCGUUCCAUUAGAUAGUAGGCGGGGUAACGGCCCACCUAGUCUUCGAUGGAUAGGGGUUCUGAGAGGAAGGUCCCCCACAUUGGAACUGAGACACGGUCCAAACUCCUACGGGAGGCAGCAGUGAGGAAUAUUGGUCAAUGGGCGCAGGCCUGAACCAGCCAAGUAGCGUGAAGGAUGACUGCCCUAUGGGUUGUAAACUUCUUUUAUAAAGGAAUAAAGUCGGGUAUGGAUACCCGUUUGCAUGUACUUUAUGAAUAAGGAUCGGCUAACUCCGUGCCAGCAGCCGCGGUAAUACGGAGGAUCCGAGCGUUAUCCGGAUUUAUUGGGUUUAAAGGGAGCGUAGAUGGAUGUUUAAGUCAGUUGUGAAAGUUUGCGGCUCAACCGUAAAAUUGCAGUUGAUACUGGAUAUCUUGAGUGCAGUUGAGGCAGGCGGAAUUCGUGGUGUAGCGGUGAAAUGCUUAGAUAUCACGAAGAACUCCGAUUGCGAAGGCAGCCUGCUAAGCUGCAACUGACAUUGAGGCUCGAAAGUGUGGGUAUCAAACAGGAUUAGAUACCCUGGUAGUCCACACGGUAAACGAUGAAUACUCGCUGUUUGCGAUAUACGGCAAGCGGCCAAGCGAAAGCGUUAAGUAUUCCACCUGGGGAGUACGCCGGCAACGGUGAAACUCAAAGGAAUUGACGGGGGCCCGCACAAGCGGAGGAACAUGUGGUUUAAUUCGAUGAUACGCGAGGAACCUUACCCGGGCUUAAAUUGCAGAUGAAUUACGGUGAAAGCCGUAAGCCGCAAGGCAUCUGUGAAGGUGCUGCAUGGUUGUCGUCAACUCGUGCCGUGAGGUGUCGGCUUAAGUGCCAUAACGAGCGCAACCCUUGUUGUCAGUUACUAACAGGUUCCGCUGAGGACUCUGACAAGACUGCCAUCGUAAGAUGUGAGGAAGGUGGGGAUGACGUCAAAUCAGCACGGCCCUUACGUCCGGGGCUACACACGUGUUACAAUGGGGGGUACAGAGGGCCGCUACCACGCGAGUGGAUGCCAAUCCCAAAAACCUCUCUCAGUUCGGACUGGAGUCUGCAACCCGACUCCACGAAGCUGGAUUCGCUAGUAAUCGCGCAUCAGCCACGGCGCGGUGAAUACGUUCCCGGGCCUUGUACACACCGCCCGUCAAGCCAUGGGAGCCGGGGGUACCUGAAGUGCGUAACCGCGAGGAGCGCCCUAGGGUAAAACUGGUGACUGGGGCU